UGGGGUCAGAGGUCACCUACAGGGUCAGGAUGCAGGAGUAAGACACAUGAAAUUGAGGAGGCAGUGAGGAAGUUAUCGCUGCUCCCAUCAGAUAAUGACAAGAUGACGACAAGAUGAUGACUGGCCUCUGGCCCCGGCUUCGUGGUUUACAGGAGAGCUGUUGGCGAGCAAAGGGCACAAAAGGAGAAGAAAUAGAGAGGAAAAUGGAGAGCACUACUGCUACUUGUCAACAUAUCAGCAAAGUGUGACGCAAGCACAGGUGGACUGGUGUUGACACGGUCCGUGGGAACUAUGGAAAAGUCUUCAGUGUUCCAUUUUUGCAUCACAACAUGGUGUGACACCUGCUUGGACCGGAAAGCAGUGCUGAGCGUGGUGAAAACUGCAAGGCGCUACAGGACUCUACGUUCCAGGACCAGCAGGCUCAGGAACAACUUCUUGCCCUCAGCUGUCACCUUUAUUCUGUAUUUAUUGGUUUACUGUUAGUUUUAUCUGUAAUUACACUCUGCAUUAUAUAUUUUAUACUUAUACCUGCACUGCUUACCAUAUCCAGACUAUGCAAGUGUGUUCUUACGGUUCAUAAUGCUCAUACUGUAUAUAUCUAGUUCAUUGAUACCCAUUUUGUUUACCCCACAUUAUAUUUAUGAUAUAUAUAUAUUUUAUUCUGUAUGUAGUCUGUACAUUACUUGGCACUUGACCGUCUUUUGUAUUUCUGGUUAGACGCUAGACUGCAUUUCGUUGUCUCUGUACCUUUAUUCUGUACAAUGACAAUAAAGUUAGAUCUAAUCUAAA